CCUCUCAACACAUAAGUUCCCCAAUUGUCAACUGCUCCUCUGAAUGAAAAAAAUUAAUCAACUUUCCCUGCCAUUCAUUUCCACUCAAGGAAGGAAACUGCUUUAAGAGAGUGUAGGUUUAGGAUUCUUGAAAUGGGAGUGACCACACUCAAAUCCCCUGUGAUCCUGAGAAAGAACUGACCAUGUCCAAAGGUGAAAGGCGAGAUAGUGUUAGCACUCAGGUACCGCUGAAAGCGCUGCUCUUCAAACAACCUGGACACAGCCCUGAAAAGAAACCAGCGGCGUAACUGGCCUCAGAGGACCUCAUCUUAUGGGAAUGAGCCAUCCUCCUUCCCAACUCGGCUAAAGGACACUUCUCUGUGAAGGGAGCCUCUGAUACAUUGCCUAUAGCAAGAAGAAGGGGCCAACCUGAAGAAAAACAUGCCAUCUGCACUUGCUUUCGUCCUACUUGUUCUCAACAUCAGCCUCCUGAAGGGUAAGAGAC
rnacentral:lncRNA from 1 species